UCCACCCAAUCCCCACCCCGUCGGUCUCCCCAAUCCCCACCCCGUCUGUCUCGCAACCGGCGCUUAGGGUUUGCCCGUGGCGGAUCGAUUGGAGGCGCGGGGCUGAUCUACGAGGGAGAUGGGCCGGGGAAGAAUGCGAUGGGGUUGUGGUGGGUGAUUAGCGGCGAGGAUGGGGGUGGCCGGCGAGCUGAGAGGCGGCAGUGUCCACCGGCGCUCCUCCGCUUCUCUUUCUUUCACCGGCAACAACGAGCGCAUGACUCAGAAGCUGACCCUGCACGUAGCGCCCGAUGCCGGCUCUUUCUUCCCCACCAGCACGCCACCUCGCCGGUACUGCCCGUCUUCGUAGGCCACCUCGUCGGUACGCUCGUCCUCACAUGUCAACGCUAGAUCAGGUGCUCAUGGUCUCCCCUUUUCCUCUUACCCCUCCUCUCCUAAAUCAAAAAGCAGAUAUGUUCUUUUGCUUCGCCCUCGCCCGUCCUAUCCUCCUCAUCUCCUCCGUUUGGCCGCUGCGCCGGUAGAUCCGCCGUCGUCCGCGCCUUCCACGGGAUCUGCACCAUCAGUGGCGCCCACUGUUACCCUUUGCCGUGGGUUUGGUUAAGGUCGUUGCUUUGGUGGGAUUUCCGCGUCGGGUGGCCGUGGUUGCUUUCGUUAGCCUGCUGUCCGGGUGUGUACAUGGUUAUCUACUGGUGUGGGUUGGUCGUUGUGGCUUUCUCUCUGUCAGACUUUGAUGUUAGUUCUGAAAGAAGAAACUAUGAUGCAUGAUUUAUUUGCAGACCUUUCAUAUCAUCUGAAGCAUUGGUUUAUCAAUAGGCAUUUUCACAGCGUCAUAUGGUGGUGAGUUUUUAUAGCUUUAUCAUUAUAGCCUCCUCUCUACAAUGAAUCCCUCGAGGCGAAGGACUACAUUCCUCCCCCAUGUGAGUCAUUAUUGUAGAUUUGGCUUUUUUUUUCUAGAUGUACAGAUAUGUAGAUUCUGGUUUGGCAAUGCAGAUUUAGUUUGGUGUUUUAAUGAGAGGUGUCAAAAAGCAUUCUAUCAUAUGGGAUGUUUUUUCAGCUUAUUGACUGUACAAUAAUUAUAGUCACAUUGGAUGUUUCAGCUCAUCUGGUCGUAUAAUACUUGCAUUCCUGGCGUAUUGAUUUGUUAUUCAAAUCAUACCCUUGAAACUUGUUCUCAUUAAUUUAUGAUGGUAGAGGUAUAUUCCGCCGAUUCCUCUCACCUCCGAUCUCAGACAGCUAUUAUGCAACGUCUUUGCCUGCAUUACCAUCAUCGUUGUGUCGAGGAGGUUCUUGAUCUCAGUUGCAUCUCUUCUCUCUUUCUCUACCUAUAAAAUUCUUUUAAUGAUGCUUCUAUGCAAAGUUUUAGUUCAUGGUUGCAAAACAAGCUAAUCCUCUAUUUGAUGGUACUAUUACCUACGCAAUUUUUUUUGUAUAACAAUGUAUUAGGUCAGUAUAAUAAGUGCAUAGGUUGGGCAAAUGUUUUUGUUAGUGCUUUGUUUACUACAAGAAACUAACCUCAUUCAUGCACAUGUGGGUACAAGGUCGAAUGGAUUUUGAAAAUCUAAGAAUAGUUUUAAAAGACCCCUGAUUAUUAUUGUCUGUAGGUCACCUUAAUCUGAAGAUAAACAUAUAUGUUUAGUUGUUCUAUUAUGGACAAUGGAAGUUUUUAGUUUGCUGUGGUGAAGUAAUCAUGUUAAGAACCAAAAUCGUGAUAUUUGGGUACUAUUUCUUCAAGUGAUCACUAAUUUCGAGAAUAGACUAAUCUUGUUGCUCCUCUUUUUGGGGUAGGAACUAGCACUCACUUGCUAUUGGCUCUGUGUAUAUGUCAUUGCUGCAAUUAUAUUCAUGACCUAUAAUGAUCCAGUGAAGCCAUGGUGUUGGGGGUGCUUCCCCGAUUAGAGAAUUGGCGGCGAUACUGCAUUGAUAAUUUCCCUACUCUUUCAUUUCUACUACUUAGUUCUGCUUCUUUUGUCAUUGUAUGUUUACAUCUAUUGCUCCUGAAUAUUCGUCUAACCUUUCAAAAUGAGUAUGUUUCUGAUAUUCACCUAAUUAAGUUUCUUUACAUACUGCAUUGUAAUAGUUCUAGAACAAUAUAUCUUCUAAACCCAAUUUUUUUUCCAUCCCCUCGGAUAAUUGUAGAAGAAGUUUUUAGUUAUGGUAACAUGGACCAAUAGCUAACUAGAAUAUAUUUGUGAUGUUAGAAGUAGGCACAUUGCUGAUAGGUUACGGCCUUGCAGGCUACAAGCUGCAAAUGCCUAUUCUUGUUGCGAGGAUAUUCAGUCUACAAGCCUCACUUUGUUCUAUUUUAUGAUGGCACUCAUCAUCUUCAAGGACGACAGUAAUUCAUGACAAUUCUAGGUCUGCCAAUAGAAGCAUAAUUAUUGUCAAAUGCAAUUGCAAUACCUCAUCUAAUUACGCUUCCUCAAUCAGGUAAGAUUACGCUACCUUUUUUCCACAUAGACUCAACUGAACAUUGCACUCAGGUGUCAUUUUUUGGUUCAAUAGAUAAUGUUCAUUUAUCCCUACUUUUGAUCAACCUAGGCUUGGUAGUAUUCAGAGUAGUAGAUGUACCUCAAUACCACAACCCAGUUUAAACCUGCCAACCAAUUUUCACAGGAGUCCUAUUAGCAUAUAUAUAUUCAGUUUUGACAAUUAAACUUGAUUCCUUGAACCUUCGGGUUGCUCAGAUUCAGAGUAGUUUUGUAGUAGUGACGAAGUCUUUAGUGUGGCAUCCAAAUUAACAAGACAUGUCCGGUACUCGUACUUGUAGCUCCAAGUUACACAUUAUUCCCGAAAUCUGUAGUUUGGAACAGCAAAGUAAUACUUCAUUUUGAGCAUUAUAACAUGUAUGACCGGUUUAGUCACACGAGUUAAAUAGCAUGCUGUUUCUUAACUCGGGUCUUGUUAUCCCAUUAUUUUUACAAAAAAAACUAAAGCAAAACCAGAAACCCAAGUCAACCCAAAUAUUCUGCUAAACCCUGUGAACUAAAAUCUGUUAUUGAUACGUCAAUUUUUUUUGUUAUUGAACUAAAAUAAGAUUUGAGUGAGCAUCUAUAGCUACAGCUGACUUGAAAAUAAAAAUGCAUAAACAUGAUUUACUUUCUCAGGCUACAAACAAGAAAUCACAAAUAUUCUGAUUUACAAGGUAAGGCUGAUACCUUUUACCCUUAGCUAAUAUGAUAUCCCGUCCUUUUUUUUACCAAGUUUAAGCCAUGGACGUCAUUGACAUUCCAUCCAGGGUAAUGAUCAAGACGGCUUAAGACAUUCUACAACAGUUUACCCACCAUGGGCGAAGUGAUGGUGACAUUCUCUCCGUCAUACACAUCAUCCUAUUGGAGAAGGCUCAGUCCAACUGUCUUUCGAGCAAGCAAUGUAUAUUUUGUUGACUAUAUAGUUAGUCCGUAGUAAGACAUGUUGUAGUAAUGAAGAUUUACAUAGUGUUUCACCAAUUGGAUAGUUUUGUUACAUUUGAUGUAUAUUGUUUCACCAAUUAGAUAGUUUUGUUACAUUUGAUGUAUUGUGUCACCAAUUGGAUAGUUUUGUUACAUUUGAUGUUUGAUUACCA